rnacentral:misc_RNA from 1 species
GAUGAAGAACGCAGCGAAAUGCGAUAAGUAGUGUGAAUUGCAGAAUUCAGUGAAUCAUCGAAUCUUUGAACGCACCUUGCGCUCCUUGGUAUUCCUUGGAGCAUGCCUGUUUGAGUAUCAUGAGCAAAUCUCAAAGUCGAUCCUUUUGUUAAUUCAAUUGGUUUGCUUUGGACUUGGAGGCCUUGCAGAUUUCACCGUCUGCUCCUCUUAAAUGCAUUAGCUGGAUCUCAGUAUUAUGCUUGGUUCCACUCGGCGUGAUAAGUAUCACUCGCUGAGGACACUGUAAAAGGUGGCCAGGAAAAUACUGAUCGAACCGCUUCUAACGGUCUAUUAACUUAGACAAUUACCCUUAAGUUUGAUCUCAAAUCAGGUAGGACUACCCGCUGAACUUAAGCAUAUCAAUAAGCGGAGGA